GGGUUAACCCUGUGCAACUAGCCAACCUUGGUCUAUGCGCAUUCGGUUAUAGUAGCGGUGUACGGCUGGCGUCUGCAUCUUUCAGCAUCCACAAACUUGUAGCGUCCCCUCGUUGGGCUCCGUGGUGGGUGGCCGCCAGCGCUGCCGAACGAAUUACAAUUGUUAUGUAUAGA